rnacentral:rRNA from 1 species
ACGAACGCUGGCGGCGUGCUUAACACAUGCAAGUCGAACGGAAAGGCCCUGCUUUUGUGGGGUGCUCGAGUGGCGAACGGGUGAGUAACACGUGAGUAACCUGCCCUUGACUUUGGGAUAACUUCAGGAAACUGGGGCUAAUACCGGAUAGGAGCUCCUGCUGCAUGGUGGGGGUUGGAAAGUUUCGGCGGUUGGGGAUGGACUCGCGGCUUAUCAGCUUGUUGGUGGGGUAGUGGCUUACCAAGGCUUAGACGGGUAGCCGGCCUGAGAGGGUGACCGGCCACAUUGGGACUGAGAUACGGCCCAGACUCCUACGGGAGGCAGCAGUGGGGAAUAUUGCACAAUGGGCGGAAGCCUGAUGCAGCAACGCCGCGUGCGGGAUGACGGCCUUCGGGUUGUAAACCGCUUUCGCCUGUGACGAAGCGUGAGUGACGGUAAUGGGUAAAGAAGCACCGGCUAACUACGUG